ensembl:lncRNA
UAUUAGUUGCCUUUAUUUAACCAGGUAAAUCAUUAAGAACAUAUUCUCAACAAACAAGGAACGCUGCUUUGUAAAUAGCCCCUAUAUCCCAACCUGUCCUAGGGAACCCCUGGCUCUGCUGUUGACUAACCUCUUCCAGGUCCAUAUCCGGCCCCAGGUAGUCCUCCUGCUCUUGCCCUAGCUUCAUAGCCUCCUCCAGGGACUCCUCCUGCUCCCUGACCGUACCCAGCUCCAGGCCCUGUUCCUGCUCCAUACCCUGCACCAGGCCCAGCUCCGGUCCCGUAUCCACCCCCAGGCACUCUUCCUCCUGCUCCUGCUUCUCCUGCUCCUAAGGCGCCUCCUGCCCCUGGUCCGUAGCCUCCUCCUGGCAGACCUCCUCCCGGGGCACCGAAUCGCCCACCAAGGCCUCCACCCGGAGCUCCUCCACCUCCUCCUGGACCUGGCAGGACAACACGGGAGGGGUCAAAGAGACUUAGCCCCAGCAGGAUAUCCUGUGAGACAGAGCACAUGAUGGGAGACAUUUUAAUGAUGGGAGACACUUCGUUGGUCCUAUACCAGGCAGUGUCAGAGGAAGGCCCUAAAAAUGGUUGAAGAGUCCAGCUAUCCAAGUCAUAGACUGUUCUCUCUGCUACCGCACGACAAACGGUACCGAUGCACCAAGUCUGGAACCAACAUUAUUCUGAACAGCUUCUAGCCAAAAGACUGCUAAAUAGUUAACCAAUUAGCUACCCAGACUAUCUGC